rnacentral:rRNA from 1 species
AUGGCCGCCGAGGUGCUGGUCGGAUCCGAGCGCCGCGUGCUCAUCAGCGCCCUCCCCGCGCCGCCGCCGCCCGACAGCCUGCUCGGCCGCCUCGACCAGAUCGACCUACGGCUGAGGCAGCUAGAGGAGGAGCGGCGGCCGUCCUCGGCCGCCGAGGGCGACGGCGCGCGUCCGGCGCCGCGGCACCAGCACAGCAAGUCCAUGCCGUCGGCGCUCCAGCCGCAGGACGCGCGCGACGUGAGGGGCACGCUCAUGGACCGCCUCAACCUGCUCGAGUCGCGCAUCAGGCAGCUCAGCUGCGAGCUCGACCUCGACGGCUCCGGGAGCGGCAAGGCUGCCGCCGCGUCGUGCCUCCCGACGCCCGACUGCGCGUGGUCCGAGCCGCCGCUGCCCGACCCCGCCAUGCGCGCGCGCGCGGUGAAGAAGCUGAAGGAGGCCAAGUGCGCGUGCGAGGAGGAGAAGAGGAAGGCGGAGCGCGCCGGCCGGAGGUGGUUCACCGUCGGGUGCUAG